rnacentral:rRNA from 1 species
UCGAGAAUCUUCGUCAAUGGGCGAAAGCCUGAACGAGCGACGCCGCGUGCGGGAUGAAGGCCUUCGGGUUGUAAACCGCUGUCAGUGGGGAGGAAGGCCCUGUGAAGAGCAGGGUUUGACCUAUCCGCAGAGGAAGUACGGGCUAAGUUCGUGCCAGCAGCCGCGGUAACACGAACCGUACAAACGUUAUUCGGAAUUACUGGGCUUAAAGGGUGCGUAGGCGGCCCGGAAAGUUGGAUGUGAAAUCCCUCGGCUUAACCGAGGAAUUGCGUUCAAAACUACCGGGCUUGAGUAAGGCAGAGGUGAGUGGAACUUAGGGUGGAGCGGUGAAAUGCGUUGAUAUCCGAAGGAACACCAGUGGCGAAAGCGACUCACUGGGCCUUUUCUGACGCUGAGGCACGAAAGCCAGGGGAGCGAACG